ensembl:snoRNA LOC120103306 small nucleolar RNA SNORA17
UCUGUCCCCAGAGGCAGUGCAGGCUGCUGUGCCACGUGUACAUCAGCAGGUGGCAGAGAGGAGAGAGGCUAUGUCAAAGCUUAGUGUUAUGAUGUGUGAACAUCUGAAUGAUUAGUAGCCUAACACU